GGCUGACGAGUGGCGAACGGGUGAGUAAUACAUCGGAACGUGCCCGAGAGUGGGGGAUAACGCAGCGAAAGCUGUGCUAAUACCGCAUACGAUCUACGGAUGAAAGCAGGGGACCGCAAGGCCUUGCGCUCAUGGAGCGGCCGAUGGCAGAUUAGGUAGUUGGUGGGAUAAAAGCUUACCAAGCCGACGAUCUGUAGCUGGUCUGAGAGGACGACCAGCCACACUGGGACUGAGACACGGCCCAGACUCCUACGGGAGGCAGCAGUGGGGAAUUUUGGACAAUGGGCGAAAGCCUGAUCCAGCCAUGCCGCGUGCAGGAUGAAGGCCUUCGGGUUGUAAACUGCUUUUGUACGGAACGAAAAGGUCUUUUCUAAUAAAAGAAGGCUCAUGACGGUACCGUAAGAAUAAGCACCGGCUAAC
rnacentral:rRNA from 1 species